UAAAAGAUAAGCUAAAUUAAGCUAUUGGGUUCAUACCCCAAUUAUAAAGGCAUCUCCUUUUCUUUUAA
rnacentral:tRNA from 1 species